GGGAACAGCUGAGGAGCAGAGAGUUGACCCUAAUGACUUAUCCUUUCACCUGUGGUUGUGCAUGCUACUAUGUUUGAAGGAGUUACCAGAGUAUUUGGAGCUAUACUGUAAUCCAGACUGUUCUUGGGGGAUAUCCACCACUACUGGACCCUAGCAAGCAGCUUCUGCCCAGAUUCUUAAGAGACUUUCAUUUGGACCUGUUACUUUGGAAGAGGUUUGGAUUUUAUGUGACUUGGCUGGAGCCAUGCAAGAGGCAGAUUGCCAGCCAGAGGCACCAGGGACGAGAACCUCUUGCCUGAGUACGCCACAUUGCACUGCUGUGAAGAGGUGAAAUAGCUGAUAUUUUCCAGUAGGUGUCCAGAAGCUGUGUUGCCGGAAGAUGAAACUGACUUUUUACCUUGACACAGAGCUCACGGCCUCCGUAACCAGGAAGAUUUGGCUAUGUGGAGACACCGUGCCACCUUGCAAAUAUGUGGAGAGGAUGCGUACAGUGGGAAAAGAGACAUAAGAGAAGGUCACAGUGCUGUGCUUGAGGUUAUGAGAGGGACUCUUUGUUAUUCCAGCAGGAUUAGGCCUAUGCUCAUACGACAGAAAAGGACCACUGAGUGAGUUUCUAGCUCUAAAAAGAGGAUGACAGAGAGAAGUCUAAAUGAAAACCUGCAAAGCUCUCCCCACAAAAAGCAGACUUCAGUCUUGUUAGUUGUUUCAUGACAUAGCUCCCUACACAGUGGAACACAUUAAAACAAAAGUCGAGCUAUGGGUCUUUCGUGUCCGGGACUGGUAAGACCCUUCACCUUGCAUGUUAUGCAAAAGGGCACAGAAGCCCAGAGACUCUGUGCUGAAUCAGAGGGAAGAGCAUCACUCCCUGAAUCACCAAUCCCACUUCCCUGAAGCACCUGCCAGUUGCCCAGCCAUGUACUGAAUAAGCAUAGGCCUGCUUAGCUUGUGAGAAGCAAACUUCAAAGUGGAACCCAUGCAGGAGUCAGCUGUUGCAGUUGGGGAAAGGGGUGCAAAAUCCUCUAAAGAAAUCAGAUGCGAACUGAGCAUGAGGAGCACUACGAACUGGAGGUAGCGACCCCAGUGAUGAACUGGAAGUGAACGCAUUUGCUUGUUAAGUUUACACAGCCACGUUCUGCUCCCUGGAGACUGGAUUUCCCCAGCCCUGCCGAGUGCAUCACAAAUUCCAUGCAAAUCAAGAAACCAGCAAUGGGAGAUCAGAGACAAAAAUCUAUAACCCAUCAUCCAAAGAAUGAGAAGGGUUUGUAGGAUUGAACCUUUGAUUUCUGAAGACUAGCCCUUUAGACAGAGAUCUACACCUGAGACAGCACAGAGCUAGCAGAGGCAAUAUACGUGGUCUGCGAUGAUACAACCCCAGAGAGAAAAUGAGCUAUGUGAGCUCUUAAAUGAUGGAAUGCAACUCUAAGCAAGCAUUCAGUUCCAGUCCAUCUCCUCCCACCACUUCCAGCUGUGCGGUAUGAAGUGUAUAUACAAGAAAAAUAGGAAAAGCAAAGACAGGUAUCUUCAAUGAACCACAAUGCCUCCUUUAUAGCCUAUGCUUCUCUUGUUCCCAAUCCUUAUUCCAUGCUGACUGUAUGCCUUUAAUGCCUGCCCUAUCCCCAGUAUAGCAAGCAUAAAAUGAUCAUAUUUCAAAAUGCUGAAAAUUUCAAAAAGUUUAAAAUCUUGACAUUUAAAAAAAAAUUGUCUACAUUUUCCCCAA